GAGCGAGCGAAGAGCUCUUCUCUCUCUGGCUGUAGACAGUCAACUGGCGCAUUGAAUCCGAGUCCGAGCGCCUGAUCGAGGCUUCGAAGCCGCGAGUGUCUUGCUUCGGCUUCUCUUAUUCGCACUGUCACGUAGAUUUCGAUUUGCGACCUGGAAAAUACGUGCAUCGGCGCCAUCUCGUGAGAGGACGAGAACCAACGGAGGAGGAAACACCUGUCCUAGGAAAAUCCUUAUUUUCGUCAUGCCCAAGAAACCCACAGGUGCGCCACCGCAUGGCGCCAAAGAGCGAGAAAGUAAGCGUCAGGCCAACGCUGCUAAAUCAAUGGCCGAAAAAGCUCAAAGAGAAGCUAAAAAAGUAGUAUCUGCCCAGAAGAUUGUCGAGCUUAACGCAGAGAGGGCGGGGGCAACAUCACAGCCUACUGGGUCAAAACAG
rnacentral:lncRNA from 1 species